GAUGAACGCUGGCGGCGUGCCUAAUACAUGCAAGUCGAGCGAACGGACGAGAAGCUUGCUUCUCUGAUGUUAGCGGCGGACGGGUGAGUAACACGUGGAUAACCUACCUAUAAGACUGGGAUAACUUCGGGAAACCGGAGCUAAUACCGGAUGAUAUAUUGAACCGCAUGGUUCAAAAGUGAAAGACGGUCUUGCUGUCACUUAUAGAUGGAUCCGCGCUGCAUUAGCUAGUUGGUAAGGUAAUGGCUUACCAAGGCAACGAUGCAUAGCCGACCUGAGAGGGUGAUCGGCCACACUGGAACUGAGACACGGUCCAGACUCCUACGGGAGGCAGCAGUAGGGAAUCUUCCGCAAUGGGCGAAAGCCUGACGGAGCAACGCCGCGUGAGUGAUGAAGGUCUUCGGAUCGUAAAACUCUGUUAUUAGGGAAGAACAUAUGUGUAAGUAACUGUGCACAUCUUGACGGUACCUAAUCAGAAAGCCACGGCUAACUACGUG
rnacentral:rRNA from 1 species